ACUCCUACGGGAGGCAGCAGUUAGGAAUAUUCGGCAAUGGGGGAAACCCUGACCGAGCGACACUGCGUGAAGGAGGAAGGCCUUAGGGUUGUAAACUUCUGAACGAGAGACGAUAAUGACGGUAUCUCGGUAAUAGCACCGGCUAACUCCGUGCCAGCAGCCGCGGUAAUACGGAGGGUGCGAGCGUUAAUCGGAAUUACUGGGCGUAAAGCGUGCGCAGGGCGGUUUGUUAAGCGAGAUGUGAAAGCCCCGGGCUCAACCUCGGAAUUGCAUUUGAAACUGGCAGACUAGAGUACUGUAGAGGGGGUAGAAUUUCAGGUGUAGCGGUGAAAUGCGUAGAGAUCGGAAGGAACACCAGUGGCGAAGGCGGCUACCUGGACUAAUACUGACACUGAGGCACGAAAGCGUGGGUAGCAAACAGGAUUAGAUACCCUGGUAGGUC
rnacentral:rRNA from 1 species